UACGGGGGGGGCAAGCGUUGUUCGGAAUUACUGGGCGUAAAGGGCGCGUAGGCGGCCUUCUAAGUCGGACGUGAAAUCCCUCGGCUUAACCGAGGAACUGCGUCCGAUACUGAAAGGCUUGAAUCCGGGAGAGGGAUGUGGAAUUCCAAGUGUAGCGGUGAAAUGCGUAGAUAUCUGGAGGAACACCGGUGGCGAAGGCGGCAUCCUGGACCGGUAUUGACGCUGAGGCGCGAAAGCUAGGGGAGCAAACGGG
rnacentral:rRNA from 1 species